rnacentral:rRNA from 1 species
UACAGAGGUCUUAAGCGUUGUUCGGAUUCAUUGGGCGUAAAGGGUGCGUAGGCGGCGCGGUAAGUCGGGUGUGAAAUCUCGGAGCUUAACUCCGAAACUGCAUUCGAUACUGCCGUGCUUGAGGACUGGAGAGGAGACUGGAAUUUACGGUGUAGCGGUGAAAUGCGUAGAUAUCGUAAGGAAGACCAGUGGCGAAGGCGGGUCUCUGGACAGUUCCUGACGCUGAGGCACGAAGGUCAGGGGAGCAAACGGG